rnacentral:lncRNA from 1 species
AGAAGUUUGGUUCAGAUUUAGUUAGGCUCAUCGCUUUAGUUUCAAAGCUUAAUUAGCUCUUUUGGGGUCUUUGCGUUGGUUAUUAUUAGAUGUUGGAAUACCCUUAUAGCAACAACUGGAAUUCUGUGUUGAUAGUGUAGUUAGUGAUUGAUUUUUAGCCUCAUUAAUUGUUUGAUGGAACAGCCUUUGCGUUGUUUAUGAUGGAAUAGCAUCAACUGCAAUUGAGCUGCAAGUUUCUUGUUUAUUCAUUAUGUAUAGACACCAUAGUUACUCACUCUCUGUGCUUUUGGCAUCAUGAACACUUUGAUGGAAGAGCUAACAUUGUUUUUUUCUUCUCUUUUG